GCAGGUGACUGGAUAAAGACCAGCUUGGCCGAAGACAAACUGUGAUGUGGACAAGGUAGCAUCUCCAGUGUGACUUCCACAGUGAGACAAUCUAAUUCGUUUUCUCAAUCACACAAUUUUUCAUUAGCAUGUGAAGUUAUCAGCUCGGCUGCAUGUGGAACCUGGAAUGUGGUGCUGUCCCAGUCAGCAUCUUCUGUGAUCUUUGGUGUCUCGCUUCAAAAACUUCUGCAAGAGAGGAACUGGGGUCCUGACAGAGUGAUCAAAAGUGUGACACCCAGGAGAGUAGAAGAUAAUUCUGGAUACUGUCACAGCAUCUGUGGAACCAUAUUUCAGCUGUUCUCAGACUUUCCCAUUUCUGGAAGCCUGCCCCUCCUUCAGCUCCAACCACAAAUGUCCACACAACAGAAAUCUAGUCCUUGUCCAAGGGGUCAGUCAAAGACUACCCAAAGAUUACCCCAGAAUGUCUCCGUUAUUUUUUCACUCCCAUCUAAGAACCUUUAGAAUCACAAAGUCAGACAUGAAUUCAUUGCCUCAAAGCAAGACACCAACAUUUUUGUGAACCAGCCGUGACAAGAUUGUGUGUAAAGGUCUUUCCCAGUUACUAAGGUCUUUAGCACAGGCAUGUCCAAGCUGCAAAUUAGGAUGCCAAAAUAUGUGAACCCCCACAUUUUAAUAAGUCACAACUCCUAAAAAAUAAAGGAAUGAACAGGUUUUCUGUUCUCUUUAAAAUUCAGGCAAGUUGCUUGAUGACAAUCGGCAGUCCUGUCACUUUCAGAUGUCACCAGCUGUCUCUUGCUGCUGCUUUUCUUUAGGUUUGAAGUUCCAUCUGCUCUUUUCUCUUUUUUGGUUUGAAAAAACCCUUCCCACAAUGGAGCCUAAAUACUUGGGAAAGCAUUUUCAAAAGACCCAAAAAUGUAUGCAGGAUACUUCAGAUUUUGUUCAAAAAGACAGAAAAAGGAAUAAACCUGCAGAGUCCUGUUGAAAAUUUGUGUAUCUUUAUAUUUUUGAUACCUCAUGCUUUUACCUCAGCAGUAGUAUACAGAACUCCACUGGAUCCUAAUUUUCAGUAACUUUUAGUAAGUUAAUAUCCUAGUUAAUUUUUACAAUAUUACAUAUUAAGCUUACCCUUAUGUUAAUCACUAGGACACAUGCUAUGUUGCUGAAAUACCUAUGUGCAGAAUGCUUUUGUGUGAACACACAAACUGGAAAAAAAAAAAAAGAUAAAAAAUUAAACUGCUAAACCCAAACUGUAUUCAAAUAAAUAACAUACCCUACUCCCUAGUCUACCCUAGCCUAGUUUCUUUUAGUUGCUUUUCUAUGGUAAGAAAUCUGUUUUUGCUGCUGGAUUUUUAAAAAUUUUGCCACAAGAGCACAGGAUUUAACUAAUUCAUGCAAAAUAACAAAAAACCCUAAUGCAACCCAAACCAAAACCCAAAAACCCCAAACUGGUUCCUGGAAACAUUAAAGUGCACUCAUUACACACUAGAUUUUAGGCAUGUCUGCAGCAGGGAGCAUUUUAGCUUGUACAUCUCACUUCUGGGUUACACCUUUCAAGAAAAUGUCUAAAUUUCCUUGUUUUCUAAACUUUUCUUAUGGUUCAAGUUGCUUUGACUCUCAUGUAAGUUGCUUUUCUGAUUCUCUUCAGAAGGAUGACUGUUAUCUAUCUGAAAAGAAAAUAUUUAAAAUCUGUUAAGCUCAUCAUUAUAUGCUAUUGGGUAAAAUACAGGGAUUGUCACAGGGGUUUAAAGCAAAUUAUUAUCAUGAUACAUAAAGAUAAAAAUUAGGUAGCCUUCAUUAUGGAAGGUACAGAAAAUCAAUCUGUUUCUCCAUUAUCAUGCUACUGAGAAGCAUACUAAGUGCAGCUUAUUAGGAAGUGUCAUUCUCAUCCCUAAACCAAAAAGACAUGAAUAGAAUCAAAAGGAGAUACUGAUAAGGAGA